AUGACGUGCUUGCACUGAUUUCAACAAUGAAGCGAGUGGCGAACUGGUGAGUAACACGUGGGAAAUCUGCCCAGAAGCAGGGGAUAACACUUGGAAACAGGUGCUAAUACCGUAUAACAACAAAAUCCGCAUGGAUUUUGUUUGAAAGGUGGCUUCGGCUAUCACUUCUGGAUGAUCCCGCGGCGUAUUAGUUAGUUGGUGAGGUAAAGGCCCACCAAGACGAUGAUACGUAGCCGACCUGAGAGGGUAAUCGGCCACAUUGGGACUGAGACACGGCCCAAACUCCUACGGGAGGCAGCAGUAGGGAAUCUUCCACAAUGGACGAAAGUCUGAUGGAGCAAUGCCGCGUGAGUGAAGAAGGGUUUCGGCUCGUAAAACUCUGUUGUUAAAGAAGAACACCUUUGAGAGUAACUGUUCAAGGGUUGACGGUAUUUAACCAGAAAGCCACGGCUAACUACGUGCCAGCAGCCGCGGUAAUACGUAGGUGGCAAGCGUUGUCCGGAUUUAUUGGGCGUAAAGCGAGCGCAGGCGGUUUUUUAAGUCUGAUGUGAAAGCCUUCGGCUUAACCGGAGAAGUGCAUCGGAAACUGGGAGACUUGAGUGCAGAAGAGGACAGUGGAACUCCAUGUGUAGCGGUGGAAUGCGUAGAUAUAUGGAAGAACACCAGUGGCGAAGGCGGCUGUCUAGUCUGUAACUGACGCUGAAGCUCGAAAGCAUGGGUAGCGAACAGGAUUAGAUACCCUGGUAGUCCAUGCCGUAAACGAUGAGUGCUAAGUGUUGGAGGGUUUCCGCCCUUCAGUGCUGCAGCUAACGCAUUAAGCACUCCGCCUGGGGAGUACGACCGCAAGGUUGAAACUCAAAGGAAUUGACGGGGGCCCGCACAAGCGGUGGAGCUAUGUGG
rnacentral:rRNA from 2 species